AUUGAACGCUGGCGGCAGGCCUAACACAUGCAAGUCGAACGGUAGCACAGAGAGCUUGCUCUCGGGUGACGAGUGGCGGACGGGUGAGUAACGUCUGGGAAACUGCCCGAUGGAGGGGGAUAACUACUGGAAACGGUAGCUAAUACCGCAUAACGUCGCAAGACCAAAGUGGGGGACCUUCGGGCCUCACACCAUCGGAUGUGCCCAGAUGGGAUUAGCUAGUAGGUGGGGUAAUGGCUCACCUAGGCGACGAUCCCUAGCUGGUCUGAGAGGAUGACCAGCCACACUGGAACGGGGACACGGUCCAGACUCCUACGGGAGGCAGCAGUGGGGAAUAUUGCACAAUGGGCGCAAGCCUGAUGCAGCCAUGCCGCGUGUAUGAAGAAGGCCUUCGGGUUGUAAAGUACCUUCAGCGGGGAGGAAGGCGGUGAAGUUAAUAGCUUCACCGAUUGACGUUACCCGCAGAAGAAGCACCGGCUAACUCCGUGCCAGCCGCCGCCGUAA
rnacentral:rRNA from 1 species